ensembl:lncRNA BVES-AS1 BVES antisense RNA 1
CGGCAGUCUCGUGGGACCGGCGGCAUUCGUCGUUCCUCCUUACGGGGAUAAUUCGAGAAGUGCGGUCCGGGUAGGGAGAGAAAUCAGGAGAGAAAAUGAGAAAGAGAAUCCUCGUUUCCCCUCAAAGUUGGACGACCCACUCGUAUAUCUCCUUUUUGGGAGAUUCGCCCAUAACUCAGCACAAACAGGGAAUAGCCCGGAAAGCGCGCGAGUUCCCGUCCGAUUGUGGCGGGGGAGGCUGAACGUUUGGUCCACACGGGUGCAGGACGCGGGGGUCAGGCCUCCUGCUGCGGAGGAAGAGGGGGAAGAGGCCGCGCGGGAGGGACUUCUGACACGCGCCACUGUUUUUGUUUUCAAACAGGGGUACUUAACCGAAACUAGCAAUCCCAGGCGGUACAAGGCCCUCCAUCGUAGGCAAAGCACUACCUGAAUGUAGAUUUGGGCCAUACGUUGGAAAAUAAGACAUGAGAGUAUGCUCCGAUCAACUUUUACUGUUCACUGGACAACUAUUUUGGGAAUUUGCAGACCUAUAAAGCCCAUCUAUAAAUCUCAAGCAUGUCCACUUUCAGAGAAGAGAAAUGCUGACAACCAUUUAGUCUCUGAGGACAACACUUUUAAAGGUACUGUUUUAUUUAGUGUGUAAACAACUUCUUUAUAUGAGGUAUUUAGUGGUUAGAAAGGAAAACUUGUUAAAGGUAGAAAAAUAACUUUUGGCAAUUUUUAAUAGUAUGUAAUUUAGUGGUAUAGAUAAGAUUUUGAUUGACUGAAAGUGAAGCUAUAGGCUGGGUACAGUGGCUCACACCUGUAAUCCCAGCACUUUGGGAGGCCAAGGCGGGUGGAUCACCUGAGGUCAGGAGUUCAAGACCAGCC